UACGGGGGGAGCAAGCGUUGUUCGGAUUUACUGGGCGUAAAGGGCGCGUAGGCGGCCUCUGCAAGUCGACUGUGAAAUCUCCGGGCUUAACCCGGAAAGGUCAGCCGAUACUGCAGGGCUAGAGUGCAGAAGGGGCAACUGGAAUUCUCGGUGUAGCGGUGAAAUGCGUAGAUAUCGAGAGGAACACCUGCGGCGAAGGCGGGCUGCUGGGCUGACACUGACGCUGACAGCGCGAAAGCUAGGGGAGCGAACGGG
rnacentral:rRNA from 1 species